rnacentral:lncRNA from 1 species
AAAACAAAGUUAAAAACGUUUGAAGAGACUCAAGGGACUCAAAACAGAUUCUAAAGACUCAAAACAACUUAAAAACACUCAAAACUGCCUAAAAACACAAACUGGGCAAAUUUGACUCUAACAUAACUUUGGACGAAUUUAGUGUUUUGACUUAAAUCAAAACACUCUAAAACACAAACAAAACAGAUUUUAAACACUUUGGAACAAGAAAGUAAAAUGGGAGUUUUGAUUUGGAUUUGAAAU